rnacentral:rRNA from 1 species
UUCGCAAUGCCCGAAAGGGUGACGAUGCGACGCCGCGUGAGCGAAGAAGGCCCUAGGGUUGUAAAGCUCUGUCGAGGGUUAUGAAAUAUAGAUGGGUUAAUACCCCAUUUAUUUGACAAAAGCCCAAAAGGAAGCCACGGCUAACUCUGUGCCAGCAGCCGCGGUAAUACAGAGGUGGCGAGCGUUGUUCGGUAUUAUUGGGCGUAAAGAGCACGUAGGCGGCUGUGUAAGUCGGUUGUGAAAGCCUUCCGCUCAACGGAAGAAGCGCAUCCGAUACUGCAUAGCUCGAGUGCGGGAGGGGAGAGUGGAACUUCUGGUGGAGCGGUGAAAUGCGUAGAUAUCAGAAGGAACACCGGCGGCGAAGGCGACCCUCUGGUCCGUAACUGACGCUGAGUGUGCGAAAGCUAGGGGAGCAAACGGGAUUAGAUACCCCGGUAGUCCUAGCCGUAAACGAUGGGCACUAAGUAGAGGGGUUUU